AAAGGUUUGUUGUAAGGAAAACAAUGUUAUAAAUUGAAGAAUAACGUUUAAUAUUUAUAUCUUCGUUUUAGAGUUUGCACAAAAGGAAGAAGUUUUCAAUGUUAUAAUUUCAAAGCUUCAGAAAAAUACAGAUAAAUACAAGAAAAUACAACAAGGUAUUGAAAAAGCAAAACAAGACCAUACAAAAAAAUGAAUGGUGAAGAUUAAUCAAGAAAUUAAAAAAACUUUUAACAAAGCCUCGUGAAACUACAAACUUCCGACACAGAUCCAAAUGAUUGCUGCUCUGAUUAAAAAAUUGCUUCAAAAAGUAUUUUUGCAAUUAAAGGAAUGCUUGAAUCCGAUGAUUUUUCAUAUCGUGUUUAUAUAAAUAAAUAUAUUUGUAUAUAAUAUUUAUUGGAAUGGAUAAUUCUAAGCCUACAAAUAAAGAUUUUAAAGUUUUUUACGGUAAAUUUAAAUAAACCAAUUCGUAAAAUCAGAUUUAGCUGUGCAUAGAUAUUUUAAACGGAAUUCGGUGAAAAUUGUAAUGUUUUUUUUAACGUCGUGAAUUUGUCAUUGAAAGCAUUGAUGUCAUCAUCAAAAUAAGCAAAACAUUUAAUAUACUUAAUUAUUUACGAAUAUACAGACAUGAAUAUAAACAGAAGUGUUUUCAAAGAUUUAAUAAUAUAUUAAACUUUUUUUUACUUUGAAUGAUGUAGACUGACUGAAUUUAUUUUGAGGGAAGCAAUGUUUUCUUGCCCCUGUUGAGUUAUAUAAAACAUUGCAAUUUG